rnacentral:ncRNA from 1 species
UUCUUCAGGGUUGGGUGCAAUUCCCUACUGGCGGUGAAUAUCAGUCCGCGACCCAUAUCGCAGGAUAUGGCUGAACCGGUGCAAAUCCGGUACCAACAGUAAAGUCUGGAUGAAAGAAGAG